CCGGGAUCCCUUUGGAGAGGCCCUCGGGAGCUGGCGGCGGGGCUGGGAGUGGCGUGGCUCUUCUUAAUUCCCCUUCUUUCUACCUGUUGGUAAGGAUGCUGGUGUGAGUGGGGAGCAGGUGGUCUUUUGAGACCUGAAGGUAUUUCUUCUCUCCUGCCCUCGGGGAUGGGGUGCUACAGUGAUGUUCACAGGUCAGGUGGAACGUGAGGCGUAUUUUGGAAAACAAUGUAAAUGGCCACUGAUAGAGGAAGAAACAAGCCAGCUAUGAAUUCGUUAAGGCAAAUAGUUUAAUGCAGCCAUACAAUGGUGAAAAUGCUUGGCUCAGCUAAUCUUCCUGAAUGUAUAUUAGGAGAUAUUUUAUGUUCUAAUGUGGCAAACUGAAAUAAUAUAGUACAAAUUAGUGUGUAUACUAACUCAAAAAUAGUAAUCUUAUGUAUUAGACAUUAUAGAUUAUGUUGCUACAAAGAGGCCUGAUAAUUUCCCAAUAAAAGGCAAUUGUUACAAAAGAAUAAUUGAAAGUUAAUUCAUAAGGGUGACAAAUGUUCAUGUACAUUUAUUCUAUAAAUGUAAUAAUUCACAGCAAAAAUUUAUAUAGUGAUUAUUUAAUUAAAAUUAAUGCCAGGAAUAUAUAAAUAUUUCAUGUAAAUAUUUAGGACUGGGAAGUUUUUCCUUGCUACUGUGUCUAUUUCUCUGUUUUCUAAGAUGCUCGCAACCUGGUUUUGGUUAUUACAGAUAACAAAUGGUGCUCAAGGUUUACUUUGCUUAUAAAUCUUUCUAGAAAAAUAUUUUAAGUAGAUGUUAAAAUUGAAAACAA